rnacentral:sRNA from 1 species
CUCUGCCUCCUGAUCAGGAGUCUCUCUGGGACCCCCUCCAACUCCCCAGGUGAAUCAAGGAACCCUUGGGCCCCAGCCCCCGUGGCCCCCGGCGAGGUGGUGAAGACUGCAGGUGGGGUGUGCAAGUUCUCUGGACAGCGACUGAGCUGGUGGCAGGCCCAAGAGUCCUGCGAGCAGCAGUUUGGCCACUUGGCACUGCAGCCCCCUGAUGGGGUUCUUGCUUCACGGCUGCGCGAUCCGGUCUGGGUGGGCCAAAGAGAGGCCCCUCUGCGGAGACCCCCACAGAGGCGUGCGCGCACCACCGCUGUGCUGGUGUUCGGCGAGAGGACGGCUGACCGGGCGGCGCGGCUGCGGAGCCCUCUGCCUGAGCUGGCAGCGCUGACCGCGUGUACUCACGUGCAGUGGGACUGUGCCUCGCCCGACCCCGCAGCGCUCUUCUCCGUUGCCGCGCCCGCGCUGCCCAACGCGCUGCAGCUGCGCGCCUUCGCCGAGCCGGGGGGCGUCGUGCACGCUGCGCUGGUGGUGCGUGGGCACCACGCGCCCUUCCUCGCAGCCUUCCGCGCCGACGGCCGCUGGCACCAUGUGUGCGCCACGUGGGAGCAGCGGGGGGGCGCUGGGCGCUGUUCUCCGAUGGGAGGCGGCGCGCUGGGGCGCGGGCGCUGGGCGCCGGCCACCCGGUGCCGUCCGGCGGCAUCCUGGUGCUGGGCCAGGAUCAGGACUCUCUGGGCGGUGGCUUCUCGGUGCGUGACGCCUUCAGCGGCAACCUCACCGACUUCCACCUGUGGGCGCGGGCGCUGAGCCCCGCUCAGCUGCACCGGGCACGGGCCUGCGCGCCGCCCUCAGAGGGCCUGCUCUUCCGCUGGGACCCGGGCGCCCUGGACGUCGCACCCUGGCUGCUGCCCACUGUGUGGGUGCGCCUUCUCUGUCCCGUGCCCUCCGAGGAGUGCCCUACGUGGAACCCGGGACCUCGCAGUGAGGGCUCUGAGCUCUGCCUGGAGCCGCAGCCCUUCCUCUGCUGCUACCGGACAGAGCCCUAUCGUCGGCUGCAGGAUGCCCAGUCGUGGCCUGGCCAGGAUGUUAUUAGCCAAGUCAAUGCCUUGGCCAACGACAUUGUGCUCCUCCCGGACCCCCUCUCUGAAGUCCAUGGGGCCCUGUCCCCAGCGGAGGCCUCCAGCUUCCUGGGCCUUCUGGAGCAUGUCCUGGCAAUGGAGAUGGCUCCCCUGGGGCCGGCCGCACUGCUGGCUGUUGUCCGCUUCCUGAAGAGGGUGGUGGCCCUUGGGGCUGGGGACCCAGAGCUGUUGUUGACAGGCCCCUGGGAGCAGCUGAGCCAAGGCGUUGUAUCUGUGGCCAGCCUGGUCCUGGAGGAGCAGGUGGCUGACACAUGGCUCUCCCUCCGUGAGGUGAUUGGUGGGCCUAUGGCCCUGGUGGCGAGUGUGCAGCGCCUGGCACCCCUGCUGAGCACCACAAUGACCUCAGAGCGGCCCCGAAUGCACAUCCAGCACCGCCAUGCUGGCCUGGAGGUGCG